GCAGAGUAGGGGUGUCAGCGUAAGGAAGGCGAAGAGAUUCGCCCUUCCGCAGUGCCGGCAGGACAGGGAGUUGUCUGCCGGACAAGAACGGCCUGAAGGUAUCUCCCGGUGCGGCAUGGCCGGACCGCCGGAGAAUUCAUCAGGAACCCGCAUGUUUGACAUUCCGCAUCCCGCUGC
rnacentral:ncRNA from 1 species